UCGAGUGAUUUAGCGGCGCGUAGUCGCACUUGUGCCAGCAGCCGCGGUAAUUCCAUCGCCAAUAGCGUAUAUUAAAGUUGUUGUGGUUAAGAAGCUUGGGGUGAACCUUGGGCCUGGCUGGCCGGUCCGCCUCACCGCGUGCACUGGUCCGGCCGGGCCUUUCCCUCUGUGGAACCCCAUACCCUUCACUGGGCGUGGCGGGGAAACAGGACAUUUACUUUGAAAAAAUUAGAGUGCUCCAGGCAGGCCUAUGCUCGAAUACAUUAGCAUGGAAUAAUAAAAUAGGACGCGCGGUUCUAUUUUGUUGGUUUAUAGGACCGCCGUAAUGAUUAAUAGGGACAGUCGGGGGCAUCAGUAUUCAACUGUCAGAGGUGAAAUUCUUGGAUCAGUUGAAGACUAACUACUGCGAAAGCAUUUGCCAAGGAUGUUUUUCAUUAAUCAGGAACGAAAGUUAGGGGAUCGAAGACGAUCAGAUACCGUCGUAGUCUUAACCAUAAACUAUGCCGACUAGGGGAUCGGACGGUGUUAUUCAUGACCCGUUCGGCACCUUACGGGAAAUCAAAGUGCUGGGUCUCCUAGGGGGAGUAUGGUCGCAAGGCUUGAAACUUAAAGAAAAUUGACGGGAAGGGCACCACCAGGGGUGGAGCCCGCGCCUUAAUUUGACUUCAGCACGGGGAAACUCACCAGGCCCAGACCACAAUAAGGAUUUGACAGAUUUGAGAAGCUCUUUCCUGAAUUUUGUGGGGAGUGGGGCAUGGCCCGUUUCUUAGAUGGGGGGGAGGCUUGGCCUGCUAAAUUGCCGAUAACCAAAGAAGACCCUUAAACCUGGCUAUAUAGCUCGCUA
rnacentral:rRNA from 1 species